rnacentral:rRNA from 1 species
GACGAACGCUGGCGGCGUGCUUAACACAUGCAAGUCGAACGGAAAGGCCCUGCUUUUGUGGGGUGCUCGAGUGGCGAACGGGUGAGUAACACGUGAGUACCUGCCCUUGACUUUGGGAUAACUUCAGGAAACUGGGGCUAAUACCGGAUAGGAGCUCCUGCUGCAUGGGGGGGGUUGGAAAGUUUCGGCGGUUGGGGAUGGACUCGCGGCUUAUCAGCUUGUUGGUGGGGUAGUGGCUUACCAAGGCUUUGACGGGUAGCCGGCCUGAGAGGGUGACCGGCCACAUUGGGACUGAGAUACGGCCCAGACUCCUACGGGAGGCAGCAGUGGGGAAUAUUGCACAAUGGGCGGAAGCCUGAUGCAGCAACGCCGCGUGCGGGAUGACGGCCUUCGGGUUGUAAACCGCUUUCGCCUGUGACGAAGCGUGAGUGACGGUAAUGGGUAAAGAAGCACCGGCUAACUACGUG